rnacentral:lncRNA from 1 species
UACGCCUAAAUGCGGUUAUAUUUUCUCUCAUGGUGGUUUUUAUCUAGGUGUCACGGAUACUGAUACGGGACAUAGGAUAUGAGACGCGACACGACUUGAAAACGGCGACUAACACGGGACAUGAGACAUGGAACGCGAUACGACUCGAAAACGGCAACUUGGCAUUUUUCAAAAAUUAGGAUACGAACACGACAUAAACACCACUAAUAAAAUAUAAUAUUAUUAAUAUAAUAAUAUUAUAUAUAUAUAUAUAUAUAAAAUAUUAAUUUUCGUAAUAUAUUGUUAUAUUUUUCAUAUAAAUAAAAGUUAGUGAAAUUUUCAUUGAUAGUUCAUAUAUUUUAAGAAGAAAAAUUCUCCACUAUAUAUAAUUUAUUUAUAUUGUCAAAAAAAAUUAUAUGCAUUCAUUAAAAAAUUAAAAUAUUUAUCAUCUUAUAUUAUACAUGCAUAAAAAAAAUAAAAUAAAAAUAUAUGUAUAUUUUUUAAUUAUUUGCGCUAUGGAUUGUCAUUUAACGCGCGUCUAAGAAGUGAUUGGACAUGCAGGUGUCUGACACGAACACGUGCGUGUCCGUGAGACUUAUAAAAAU